rnacentral:rRNA from 1 species
CGGUAAUACGAAGGGGGCUAGCGUUGCUCGGAAUUACUGGGCGUAAAGGGAGCGUAGGCGGACAGUUAAGUCAGAGGUGAAAGCCCAGGGCUCAACCCUGGAAUUGCCUUUGAUACUGAUUGUCUUGAGUAUGGGAGAGGUGUGCGGAACUCCGAGUGUAGAGGUGAAAUUCGUAGAUAUUCGGAAGAACACCAGUGGCGAAGGCGGCACACUGGCCCAUUACUGACGCUGAGGCUCGAAAGCGUGGGGAGCAAACAGGAUUAGAUACCCUGGUAGUCCACGCCGUAAACGAUGAGUGCUAGUUGUCGGCAUGCGUGCAUGUCGGUGACGCAGCUAACGCAUUAAGCACUCCGCCUGGGGAGUACGGUCGCAAGAUUAAA